rnacentral:tRNA from 1 species
GCAUCAGUGGUGUAGUGGUAAAAUCCAUCGUUGCCAUUCUACGAAUACAUUCGAUGGGCCCCGUGUUCGAUUCACGGCUGAUGCA